CUAGGGGGUAUAUAAAGCCGCCAUCAAACGCGCACGAAGGCAUUUCCUGAGUCAUUUUCGAACGGAGAAGGCUGUAUCUUGCUCGGUGAUUUAUAGUCUUGUGUGUAGUUGUGCAACUUUCUUCCAUUGUUCUACAAGAAACACGAGCCAGAUACAGUCUCACCGUUUGAGAUGGCAUUGGGACGGGCGGAGGAACUUGCUGUUUGCAGCGAUGCUGGGCGUACCGCAGAAUUGGGGACCCCAUGUUCUAGUCUCUACACCUUUCAUUGGUUUGGUUUGUAAACUGUAUCGGAACCAAUGCAUUUCUAUUUGCAAUUUUUUGUAAUAAUAUACCAAUCGAGUUCGUCAAACAUGUUCGAAGAGCGUUUGAUUCGAUAUUUUUUUUUUUCAGAAGUAUGGCGGUUACAUAAAAAAAUAUGUACUUAUAUAGCUUAAAGAAAAUUUGUAUAGUACAGUUUAACAUGUAGAUUUAAUAGCGUUUUAAAUAUUUAUUUAAUGAUCAAAAAAUAAUUUUAUAUGUAGAUUUUGUACUUAUUUAUAAAUGUUAAUUAACAGUUUUGUAAAUAUUGUGAUACAGCAAAGCAGCAGCGGAAAAAAAUAAAAAAGAAUAAUAAAAAUUGAAAAUGUUAAUAAUUUUCCUAUGAUUUUUAAAUCGCCAUAUUAAUGCCAAAAAUCCUUUUCAGUCCAGCAUACUACAUAAAAUUCUGUCGAACGCAAGAGUGUCCCGCACGUGUGUCCAGGCUGUUGGUCGUCAUCGGCGACACUAUUUGGCCUGUCUAUAUAUGAGAUAAGGAAUGGAGAGGAUUGGUAUGGGAUAAACAAAGGGGCAAAGUCUUUGUUUUUAGAAAUUUGCGCACCACGAUCAAGUCGUACAUAAACGUCUCAUUCGCGCUUCCGUAUCUUGAACAUCCGAGCAUCAACUAAUUCAAAAAUCAAUGUGAUGCGUGAUAUACAUAGGCUUACUGUGACAUACUGCAGCAACUUCGAGCAAGUUCUAUUUUGGUGAGCUAAUCCCUUCUGUUCGUUACCUGUGCAAAUAUAUUUUCUCAGGUCCAGAAAAAAUUUUUCCAAUGUUUAUGCAACUGAAUUCUAUAUGGGUUUCCCUGGCUAUUAUUAAUCCUUCAAAGUUGAUCAAGCUGGACACUUAACGUAUAUAUUGUUCCAUUUGAAUUAAAAUGUAUAAAAGUUUCAAGGUAUGGAGUAAAUUAAACACAUCUUUGUUGAAUUUAGAUGAUCCAGUAAGGCGAGUUACUGCAAGUAGCAUAACUAAUUUCAAUAAUAGGCAUGCAUAUGAAGUAUAAAAAACUCAAUUUGAAUAGGAAAUUGCUAUAAAUUUUUACUAGUACUAUAUUAAAUAUUUAGGAAUCAUUACUAGAUACUUACUUUUCACAGAUUUUAAUAUUACUUCACUUACUCGUUGGGUGCUAGAGCAAGAAGAACUUCAUGUAUCAUUAGAUUAACAAAUAAAAAAAGAAUGAUUCCUGAUAAGUGAUAUGCAACAGGGUUAUGGAAGUAAAGAGACUGAUUUAUAUAUAUUACAGUUCAAUUGAUACGAGAAACUACAUUGGGAAUAUUCUGAAAAAAUUUUUUAAUGAUAGUAGGAAAACAGUGAUACAAGGAUGACAUGCAGAUAUUUCUAAAUUAAAUUUUUAAGUAUAACAUAUAGAUGAUAUUUUCAUAUUUUGAUGUUUUUAAAAAACAAAAUUAUGUUUAAUGUUUUUAAAUUCCAAGGAAUACAUCAUCAAUAAUUCAGUUCUCGGACGUUAUUGGAAAUUGCUUACUUAUACAAUUAUAAUUAAGCAAGUUACAGGUUUGAUUUGAAGUUUGUUUAAAGGAAUUUAAUUUCUUCUAUAUGGUUGCAAAUGCAAUGUGAAGUAUCAUGCUUUUAUAAUUAUUGUUUUAAAUAUUUUUUCUUGAAAUAUUGUGGUUCGGGUGUUUGUUUUGUACUGCAGGAAUAACCAAUUUCGUAGUCAUGGUGUACAACUAAACAACUACAAGCAAUUAUUUCUAUUCCUGGAACAUGUUGGAUUCAUAUUGCAAAGUGGUAUGUUGAUUAGAAUGAUUUAGUUCCGAGUUGUAGGGGAGGGAGGGAGUUAUUAUGUUUCAGCUAAGCUUGGAUAGAGAGAAUCCUUUUAAUCGACGAGGUACAUAAAGGUGCACUUAAAAUAUAUUCCGGUAACUCCUAAUUGGAUAAAUAUGAAUAACUUUUAAUCUUGAUAAAUAUCACAAUCUACAUAUCUAUCUAUAUAACUGCAGUUUUGACAAAAAAUAUUGAUCAAAGAAAGGUAAAUAAAUCCGAUUUUUAAAAUAGAAAAGGUAUGUUUUGGUUGAAGGUAACAAUUUAAUAUGAUAAAUGAUUUCUAAUAAACAUUAAAUAUUGUUGAGAACUUCGAGAAAUAGAACUUAUACUAUAAGCUGCAGAUUUAAUAUUGUAUUUCUUUCAUCAUAAUGGAUGCUACAUAUUUUGAUGACAUUUUUAUAAUAAUGGAGAUAUAUAUCAUAUAUUUUAUACCAGGAAAUAAUUCUACAAUUUCAAUAAUUUAAACUAUUCACAAUUAUAAUAGAUAAGCAUGAUGCAAUAUAUUUCAUUCAGUUGCUGAAGAAAUUCAAUUGACAGUGGAACAGAUUUCUGCCAAAAGAAGAAGAAUAAAACGAGGAUUUGUAAUAUAUAUAAUUGUUUACUAUUUUAAGUUUAAAUAUUUUAGAUCUAUAAAAAGUGAUAUACAUUUAAUUUUAAUAAAUGUAUCUUGAAAUUACAUCUGAUUUUGAUAUUUCUAUAAUUUGUCAAGACAUGUAGGACGUAGAUCUAGGAAAAAGAGGAGACAAAGGAAUAUAAGAAAGGUGCUAAUGGUUUUAUUUUUUCACAAUGAGAAAAAGGGCGGAUUAGUAUAUAUAUCAAAUAAUUUAAAUAUAAAAUCGGUUAAAGCAUGUUAAGCAUGGUAGUGUUAUAUUCAUAAAAAUGAUCAAAUUAUUGUUAUUUAAAUGUACCUAUAUUGGCUGUUUUGGAUGUCUGUGAUUUUUGCUUCAGGAAAUUGAAGACAAUUCAUAUUGUUAUAUGAAUUUUAUAAUAAGUUUCCUAUUCUAUGGAGAAAAAUCAUGCCAUGAAAUACAUCUGAACAUGUAUGUAUUGUAUGAAUGUAAUUUUUAUUAUAUUUAGAAAACGAUGUUGGAUAUACUAAAACGAUAUAAAUAUCAAUUUUUAUAUUCAAGAGAUUGAUAACAUUUUUGAUAAAUUUAUAAAGAUAAGUUUCCAAUAUUUUAUUUAAAUAUGAUAAUAUAUAAGUUAGAAUAAAUUUUUAUUGAAUUUUUUUAUUGAAAAAAAAGAUGAAGGAUUAAAUUACUAACUUCAUAGAAUCUGUAGAUAUAUUUCAGAAAAUUUGUGUACAGAAAAAAUUUUCUAAAUGGAAGAGAGGUUACAUCAUCUUAGUUGAGACUUGACUAAGCUUGGCUGAAAAUAAACUUAUUUGAAAUAACGAGAAAGUAAUACAAUAUGUCUCAAUUCAGAUAAAUUAAAUGUUCAAAAAAUUCAAUCAAAUAUUUUAAAAAUGCAUUUAAAAUAUGUCAUUGAAAGUAACCUCUAUAUCAAAACUAGUUUAUCUAAAGUGAUAAACAUGAGUUUUCAUCUUCGAUUUUACUUUUUGAAGAUAAUUAUCGAAUGUUAUAGAAAUCGAAUAUAUCUAUUCAAGAAAAAUUUAAAUCAAGAUAAAUUAUGUUACAACUUAAACUGUUUUAUGGGAUAGUAUGCUGGUUAUGUUCAAUGGAUCCAAUUGGAUAAUUGGAAUUAAACAAGAUUUUUAAAUUAAUAACUUUCUAAAUCUCGUAAUUAGAAAGGAAAUUUGUUCUAUUUUUUUAUGGAGAAAUAAUUUUAAAGUUGAUGUGAAAUUAACUCAAGUAACUUUAUUUACUCAUACAUACAACAAUUGAAGAUUUUGAAUAUAAAAAAAUAUGAUGCAAAAUUAAAAUAGGAUUUAAUUUUUCAUUAAAAAAUUUAAUGAUGAGUG
rnacentral:lncRNA from 1 species